CAGAUUAGAGCUUGUUAAAGUAUUUCAUUUACAUUGAAAAGAUAUUAUUAAUUUAAUUAAUUUGA
rnacentral:tRNA from 2 species